ACUUAAGCAUAUCAAUAAGCGGAGGAAAAGAAACCAACAGGGAUUGCCUCAGUAACGGCGAGUGAAGCGGCAACAGCUCAAAUUUGAAAUCUGGCCCUAGCGGUCCGAAUUGUAAUUUGUAGAGGAUGCUUUUGGUGCGGUGCCUUCCGAGUUCCCUGGAACGGGACGCCAGAGAGGGUGAGAGCCCCGUACGGUUGGACACCUACCCUAUAUAUAGCUCCUUCGACGAGUCGAGUAGUUUGGGAAUGCUGCUCUAAAUGGGAGGUAAAUUUCUUCUAAAGCUAAAUACCGGCCAGAGACCGAUAGCGCACAAGUAGAGUGAUCGAAAGAUGAAAAGCACUUUGAAAAGAGGGUUAAAUAGCACGUGAAAUUGUUGAAAGGGAAGCGUUUGCGACCAGACCUUCUCUAGGCGGAUCAUCCGGUGUUCUCACCGGUGCACUUCGCCUGGUUUAGGCCAGCAUCGGUUUUCGUAGGGGGAUAAAGGCUUGGGGAACGUAUCUCUCUCGGGAGUGUUAUAGCCCCUCGCGUAAUACCCUUACGGGGACCGAGGACCGCGCUCUGCAAGGAUGCUGGCGUAAUGGUCGUCAACGACCCGUCUUGAAACACGGACCAAGGAGUCGAACAUUUGUGCGAGUGUUUGGGUAUUAAACCCUCACGCGUAAUGAAAGUGAACGGAGGUGAGAGCCCUUCGGGGUGCAUCAUCGACCGAUCCUGAUGUCUUCGGAUGGAUUUGAGUAAGAGCAUAACUGUUCGGACCCGAAAGAUGGUGAACUAUGCGUGGAUAGGGUGAAGCCAGAGGAAACUCUGGUGGAGGCUCGCAGCGGUUCUGACGUGCAAAUCGAUCGUCAAAUCUGCGCAUGGGGGCGAAAGACUUAUCGAACCAUCUAGUAGCUGGUUACCGCCGAAGUUUCCCUCAGGAUAGCAGUGUUGUUUUCAGUUUUAUGAGGUAAAGCGAAUGAUUAGGGACUCGGGGGCGCUUUAUUGCCUUCAUCCAUUCUCAAACUUUAAAUAUGUAAGAAGCCCUUGUUACUUAAUUGAACGUGGGCAUUCGAAUGUAUCAACACUAGUGGGCCAUUUUUGGUA
rnacentral:rRNA from 1 species